rnacentral:tRNA from 1 species
AUGUGCACAAUAACUAAGUUUAUUUUAGCUACGGUCUAAAAAGGUGGGGUGUAAUUCCCUAUGUGCAUA